rnacentral:rRNA from 1 species
GACGAACGCUGGCGGCGUGCUUAACACAUGCAAGUCGAACGAUGAAGCCGGAGCUUGCUCCGGUGGAUUAAUGGCGAACGGGUGAGUAACACGUGAGCAAUCUGCCCUUGACUCUGGGAUAACUGCGGGAAACUGUAGCUAAUACCGGAUACGACACCUUGGGGCAUCCCAGGGUGUGGAAAGAAUUUCGGUCAAGGAUGAGCUCGCGGCCUAUCAGCUAGUUGGUGAGGUAAUGGCUCACCAAGGUGACGACGGGUAGCCGGCCUGAGAGGGUGACCGGCCACACUGGAACUGAGACACGGUCCAGACUCCUACGGAAGGCAGCAGUGGGGAAUAUUGCACAAUGGGCGAAAGCCUGAUGCAGCAACGCCGCGUGAGGGAUGAAGGCCUUCGGGUUGUAAACCUCUUUUAGCAGGGAAGAAGCGAAAGUGACGGUACCUGCAGAAAAAGCACCGGCUAACUACGUGCCAGCCGCCGCCGUAA